rnacentral:rRNA from 1 species
UACGAAGGGAGCUAGCGUUGUCCGGAAUUAUUGGGCGUAAAGAGCUCGUAGGCGGUGUGUCGCGUCGGCCGUGAAAACCUGCAGCUUAACUGUGGGCUUGCGGUCGAUACGGGCAUCACUGGAGUUCGGCAGGGGAGACUGGAAUUCCUGGUGUAGCGGUGAAAUGCGCAGAUAUCAGGAGGAACACCGGUGGCGAAGGCGGGUCUCUGGGCCGAUACUGACGCUGAGGAGCGAAAGCGUGGGGAGCGAACAGG